GAUGAAGAACGUAGCGAAAUGCGAUACUUGGUGUGAAUUGCAGAAUCCCGUGAACCAUCGAGUCUUUGAACGCAAGUUGCGCCCGAAGCCAUUAGGCCGAGGGCACGCCUGCCUGGGCGUCACACGACGUUGCCCCCCCAUCUACUCCUUCGGGAUUGCGGGGGGCGGAUGAUGGCCUCCCGUGCGCCUCGUCGCGCGGUUGGCAUAAAUGCCAAGUCCUCGGCGACGCACGCCACGACAAUCGGUGGUUGCGAAACCUCGGUUGCCCGUCGUGUGCGGUCGUCGCGCAUCGAGGGCUCGAAAAAAUUGUCGGGCUCCGGCUCGGCUUUCAACGCGACCCCAGGUCAGGCGGGGUUACCCGCUGAAUUUAAGCAUAUCAAUAAGCGGAGGA
rnacentral:misc_RNA from 1 species